UUGGAGGGCAAGUCUGGUGCCAGCAGCCGCGGUAAUUCCAGCUCCAAUAGCGUAUAUUAAAGUUGUUGCAGUUAAAAAGCUCGUAGUUGAAUUUCGGGAUCAAUAUUUCGGUCAUGCCGUUGGUAUGCACUGUUAUCAUUGAUUUCUCACCUUCUAAAGAACCGUAAUGCCAUUAAUUUGGUGUUACGGGGAAUUAGGACUGUUACCUUGAAAAAAUUAGAGUGUUUAAAGCAGGCUCACGCUUGAAUACAUUAGCAUGGAAUAAUGAAAUAGGACAUCCGAUUCUAUUUUGUUGGUUUCUAGGAUCGAUGUAAUGAUUAAUAGGGAUAGUUGGGGGCAUUAGUAUUCAAUUGUCAGAGGCGAAAUUCUUGGAUUUAUUGAAGACUAACUACUGCGAAAGCAUUUGCCAAGGAUGUUUUCAUUAAUCAAGAACGAAAGUUAGGGGAUCGAAGACGAUCAGAUACCGUCGUAGUCUUAACCAUAAACUAUGCCGACUAGGGAUCGGAUGAUGUUAAUUUUUUAAUGACUCAUUCGGCGCCUUACGGGAAAC
rnacentral:rRNA from 1 species